rnacentral:rRNA from 1 species
GUCUAUGGCCAUACCACCUUGAAUGCGCCCAAUCUCGUUUGAUCUCAGAAGCUAAGCAGGGUCAGGCCUGGUUAGUACUUGGGUGGGACAGUGGAUUAUUUGAUGCCUUUUCAUAGAAAUACAGAAUUUGUGGAGA